rnacentral:piRNA from 1 species
UGUACCACAGACCCAGUCUCAGUGUGACA